UAGAUAGAAGCCAAUUUUGGGCGCCUAGCUGUUAAUUAGGAAGCUGUAAUUAGAUUAUUACCUAUCUAG
rnacentral:tRNA from 1 species